rnacentral:hammerhead_ribozyme from 1 species
GUACUACUGAAGAGUCCCAAGCUAGGAGGAAACGGCUGUCCAGUAC